rnacentral:rRNA from 1 species
GCUGGCGGCGUGCCUAAUCAUGCAAGUCGAGCGAACAGAUAAGGAGCUUGCUCCUUUGACGUUAGCGGCGGACGGGUGAGUAACACGUGGGUAACCUACCUAUAAGACUGGGAUAACUUCGGGAAACCGGAGCUAAUACCGGAUAACAUUUGGAACCGCAUGGUUCUAAAGUGAAAGAUGGUUUUGCUAUCACUUAUAGAUGGACCCGCGCCGUAUUAGCUAGUUGGUAAGGUAACGGCUUACCAAGGCGACGAUACGUAGCCGACCUGAGAGGGUGAUCGGCCACACUGGAACUGAGACACGGUCCAGACUCCUACGGGAGGCAGCAGUAGGGAAUCUUCCGCAAUGGGCGAAAGCCUGACGGAGCAACGCCGCGUGAGUGAUGAAGGGUUUCGGCUCGUAAAACUCUGUUAUUAGGGAAGAACAAACGUGUAAGUAACUGUGCACGUCUUGACGGUACCUAAUCAGAAAGCCACGGCUAACUACGUGCCAGCAGCCGCGGUAAUACGUAGGUGGCAAGCGUUAUCCGGAAUUAUUGGGCGUAAAGCGCGCGUAGGCGGUUUCUUAAGUCUGAUGUGAAAGCCCACGGCUCAACCGUGGAGGGUCAUUGGAAACUGGGAAACUUGAGUGCAGAAGAGGAAAGUGGAAUUCCAUGUGUAGCGGUGAAAUGCGCA